AGCGAACCCCCCAAAGUUUGACCUCGGAUCAGGUAGGGAUACCCGCUGAACUUAAGCAUAUCAAUAAGCGGAGGAAAAGAAACCAACAGGGAUUGCCCCAGUAACGGCGAGUGAAGCGGCAACAGCUCAAAUUUGAAAUCUGGCUCCCCUGGGUGCCCGAGUUGUAAUUUGCAGAGGGUGCUUUGGCGUCGGCAGCGGCCUAAGUUCCUUGGAACAGGGCGUCAUAGAGGGUGAGAACCCCGUACGUGGCCGCCCGCCUUCGCCGUGUAAAGCCCCUUCGACGAGUCGAGUUGUUUGGGAAUGCAGCUCUAAAUGGGAGGUAAAUUCCUUCUAAAGCUAAAUACUGGCCAGAGACCGAUAGCGCACAAGUAGAGUGAUCGAAAGAUGAAAAGCACUUUGGAAAGAGAGUCAAACAGCACGUGAAAUUGUUGAAAGGGAAGCGCUUGCAGCCAGACUUGCCCGCGGUUGUUCUUCUUCCGUAGGUAGGCCAGCAUCAGUCUGGGCGGUCGGAUAAAGGCCUCGGGAACGUAGCUCUCUUCGGGGAGUGUUAUAGCCCGGGGCGCCAUGCGGCCAGCUCGGACUGAGGUCCGCGCAUCUGCUAGGAUGCUGGCGUAAUGGCUGUAAGCGGCCCGUCUUGAAACACGGACCAAGGAGUCUAACAUCUAUGCGAGUGUUUGGGUGUCAAGCCCGGGCGCGCAAUGAAAGUGAACGGAGGUGGGAACCCCCCGGGGCGCACCAUCGACCGAUCCUGAUGUCUUCGGAUGGAUUUGAGUAAGAGCAUAGCUGUUGGGACCCGAAAGAUGGUGAACUAUGCCUGAAUAGGGUGAAGCCAGAGGAAACUCUGGUGGAGGCUCGCAGCGGUUCUGACGUGCAAAUCGAUCGUCAAAUUUGGGCAUAGGGGCGAAAGACUAAUCGAACUAUCUAGUAGCUGGUUCCUGCCGAAGUUUCCCUCAGGAUAGCAGUAACGUUUUCAGUUUUAUGAGGUAAAGCGAAUGAUUAGAGGCCUGGGGGUUGAAACAACCUUCACCUAUUCUCAAACUUUAAAUAUGUAAGAAGUCC
rnacentral:rRNA from 1 species